GAAUUCCGUGAAUCAUCGAGUUUUUGAACGCAUNUUGCGCCCGAGGCUUGUCCCGAGGGCAUGUCUGCCUGAGCGUCAUCAAAACCUCACCGUGCGAAGUUCUCUCCUUCGGGGGAGCUUUUCGUUUCGAGUGGAAUUGGCCGUCCGGGACUCGGCGUCGAGCACGAGCCGCGGUCGGCUGAAAUGGAGUAAGUUUCGGGCCUGGCCGGACAAUGAGAUCGCGAGAAGGUGAUUUGUCCCCUCCGGGGGGUGGAAGUCCAUUGGACAGCGAUCUUCGUCCCGGUCUGGCACGAGACGGACAGCAGGCUCACUUCGGUGAGUGGUACCCAUUUGGACCUCAG
rnacentral:rRNA from 1 species